GCGCCGCUGAGCCCCCACGCAGCUGGGCGUCCUGCUGCGGUGCAGGCCCACAAGUCUGAGCAUGGCUUCAGCCGUCCUGCUGACUGAGACAGGAACACCAGCUGAGGACUAACAUGGUCAUUCAGAGGACACAGAGGAAACAGCAUCAAGGGCACAAGCGGGUCCAGCAGCUCCUUUUGCCACCUAGAGUAUUGUUUCAUAGGCGAUUCUUAGGCUUCAACCCAGAAAGCAGAACAAAAGCUUCUAACAAAAUGCAAAACACUAGGACAACAGUGAACCUACAGGUCUCCAUUCUCCUCCGUCAUGAACCAGUGGAACUUUUAAAAUGGUAAAAUUACACAUUUACACACAAUCAGUUCUCUCACUCCAUCUCUCUCCCUGUCUGUCUUUUUCUCUGCCUGUCUCUCUGUAUCUGUCCUGUCCAUU